AGAAAUAUGGGUUUUAAUAGCAGUCGAGGAUAACGUUUUUUAUCUUUCUGCUAUCGUUGACAUACCCCUUAGUUUUAGAUAGCGUUUGCAAAAAUGUAAACGCUAUGUUUGGUUGAUCCGAUUUUAAUUCAGCAAACGCUUUUUAGAAACAUAUUAUAUAUAGCACUUUCAGUUUUGAAACGCUAUGCAUAAUUAAGGUGGGAAAAUUAUUGAUUUUAACAUCCACCCUCUUUUCACUUUCCCUCUCACUCCAUUUCAUUUACCUUCAAACCCAAAACCCUAAAACCUAUACCCUAAAUCCUAAAUUUUAAACACAACCCCUAAAACCCAAUUUUUUCUUAUUUUAAUGUCAAUUUUAUUAUUUUAAAAUUUUUAAUUUCAAAUAUUAAAUCUAAACCUCCCUCAAACCCUAUUCAUAUAUAUCAAACUACAUAUAUAUUCUAGACCUUGAACCUAACCCGAUAUAUAUAUAUAUAUCAAUUAAAUUUUAAAAAAAAUUAAUAUUAAAAUUUUUUUAAUUUCAAUAAUUAAAGAAACUUUAAUAUUUUUAAACUUUGAUAUCAAAACUUAAGCUUUAAGAUUAUAAUCUCCAAAUUUAACUAUAAACUCUAAAACAAAGCUUUCUAAAUUUUAAUACACCGCAAUUUAAUACAAUUUAAAAUUUUAGUUUCAAAUAUUAAAUUUAAACCUCAAACUCUAAAAUAUAGACAUAUAUAUAUACACUCCAAAUUAAUCUUAUACCCUAAACCACAUAGUACUUUAACACACUUCAUAGAACAUUAAACCUCAAACUUAUGCAUACAAUUUAAUUUCUAUAAUAUAUGUAUAUCCUAAACCAUAUACCACAUUUCAGUCGUACAUUAUACAUUUCAAAAAUAAAAUUAAACCACUAAAUAAUAAACAACACAAAAACAAAAGAAUUAGCUUCAUUUAAAUGUUUUUAUCAAAUCUGUUUUUAAAUUAAAUAGCCAAAAAAUUCAAGUGAAAAUUUUUAUAUUUCAAAUUUUACAUAUAAUCAUUUUAUAAGCUAUAAAAUUAAUCUUUUCUAAACUUAAUAUCAACCCAUAUACUUGAUUCCAAAUCUUACAUAUAAUCAUUUUAUAAGCUAUAAAAUUAAUUUUUUCUAAACUUAAUAUCAACCCAUAUACUUGAUUUCAAAUCUUAACCCUGAACCCUUAAUCAGAUAUUUCAAAUGAACCUAUAUCAUAAAACAUUAAAACUCAAAUUUUAAUCAAUAAAUUUUUUUUUUUAAAACACACAACCAUAAAAUUUGAAUAUAAAAUUUAUAUUUUAAAUUAUGUUAUCAAAUUAUUUAAAGUUAGAUAAUUUUUAUAAUAUUUAUAAAGAAAUGAAAACACAAUUUGUAUUGUUCUUUUUGAGCCAUUGAUUGAAUUUUAUCAAGGGUCCAAAAUCACACUUCGAUCUAUCCACCUCCUUCUUUCCUAUUGGACAAUCCUUUUUCACUUCUCUUACUAUAAUCUGUAAGCCUUCUCUCUCUCUCUUCUUCUCAAGCCAACACCAUCUCCUUCUUUGAAGUUUGUAAACGGCGAGGAUUGGUGUGGAAAAGGCUCAUGUUAUUGUGGUGAGAUAAUGAAGUAUAAGAGGAAGAGGCGAAGGUCGUGGUCUAGCUGCACGAGUACCGGAACAACGGAGGUGCCCAUCAAUGGCGGAUCUGGAAGACUAUGACGACGGCGCGAGCAGAUCCAAGCUUUGGCAAAGAAGAACCAAAAAGUCUACGGCUUUAUCAAAGGUGAUUCCUUCGUUUUGUCUCUCACUCAGAUUGUUUGUGCAGUAAGUAAGGUCUCCAAGAAAAAUCUGAGAUUGGGUCACUCGAAAGAGAAAAAAGAUGAAGGAGGACAACGGAGAACAUGGCUUAGGGCGUGGCUGAAGCGUCAAGUGUGUAGGAAGACAGUGACGCCGGAGCUCUUGUGGUGACGGGGACUGCAGCGGCGACGAAUGGAAGAGAACGACAAUGACCUCGCGGCGGCUCUCGCGAUGUGGAAGACACGGUGGUUUACUGUUUAGAUGUUGUUGACGACGGCUGCAAGUUUUUUUUUUCUAGAUUUCAGAUUAGGUUUGGUUUUGAUAUAAACCGGUUUUAGUUUAAACAAAUGUUUUUUUGUAAACCAAUUUUGAUUAUAAAUAAAAUUUAUUGUUAAUUUUUUA